CUUGUACACACCGCCCGUCACACCAUGGGAGCGGGUUCUGUCAGAAGUAGUUAGCCUAACCGCAAGGAGGGCGAUUACCACGGCAGGGUUCGUGACUGGGGUG
rnacentral:rRNA from 1 species